rnacentral:lncRNA from 1 species
GAGCAUUUGCAGAGGCUUGGGAGGGAGUGGACGUGUCCCUGAUGCUAAGGGCAGAGGAGGAGCGGGGCCCUCGGGCAGCUGGAAGGGCAUCCUGAAAAGACGCCUGCCUGCCGCCGUUCUCCUGGCAGCAGGGCGCGCUGGGAAGCACCAGGCAGGAAGUGAAGAAUUUCCGGUUGUCAGCGGAGGGAUGGGGCGUCACCAAGUCUGUGGCAAGCACACCAAGAACCAGCUAAGUCCAAGGCUCACCUGCAUGGCAAAUGGUGAAGCCCAUAGGAUAAGAAGAAACCAAGUCCUAAAAGUAGGCCAGCACCAGGGUUCAGGCCUCUGACUUCAAGCCAAGGGCUCAUCAUCUUGAAUUGCGCACGAAUUUUUACACAGCGCCAAAGGAAACUGCCUGUACUUACUGUUGUAGGUGCUUUGCUGGAUUCAGGAUGCAGACAAGGUCCACGCAUUGUGGUUGGAAUGUGGCAGAAUUGGCCGGAAGCAGAAUUGCCUGUUUCCAGUGAGGCCCCCUUGCCCUCUUGGAAGCAAUUGCUGUGUAGGAAGUCUGAACACCUCACAGGAGAUGGAGGCCAGUUCCUGCCUGCUGUAGCCACCCAGCUGAAGGGGGUCCAGACACGAGUGGAGGCAUUGUGACCUCCAGCCUCAGCAGACACCUCCACACUGCGCAGGGCAGAGCAACCACGCCACCGAGUGAGCCCCAUUUGCAGACUUUGAGCAAAUAAUGAUUGUGCACGUUGGAUCAUUUAUUGAGUUUCUCUCGUACACCAAGCACUGGUUGGAUCCCAUGCUUGUUGGUGACAGAACUGCUGUGAUGCCAGUCCUGCGUCCCCUUCAGCCUGUGAAGGAGGAGCACCAUGAACCAGCCAACUAACACGUGUCUAAUCACAUAAAGGGAACUGAACACCAGAGAGCCACAGUCACUUUCCGAAGGUCACACAGCAAGUGCAAAUGAGGCCUCAUCCUCAGGGCUGGGUUCCAGGCCUGCUGGGCAGGUCGGUUACUGCUGCACAAAAUUUCUGUUAUCCUAAAAUUGUUUCAGACAAGCACCAAAGGACGUCCCAUAGUUCUGCUUGACUAAGGUUUAAUGAAGUUAAUGUUCAUACUUUCCACUCUAUUUUUCCACUCUUUAAGGAUCCAAAUUUUCUUGGUGUAGCUGCGUAUAAAAGUUUAACUAUUACAGAGAUAACCACAAAAUUUGAUGAGGCUUCAUUGAGUGGAAAACACUGUAGUCCAAAUAAAUGCAGAAAUCAUUGGUUUGGGAACCAAGGGAUAAAAUGCUCCCAGCUGUGGCAGUUCCUCUUCUACCUUCUUUGAGUGAAUUUGCAACACAGAAAAAGGCUGAUGAAGCUGAGACAUUGAUUAUCAAAGUGCCUUCACUUCCCAGAACCAUCUGACGCAAGAUAGAAUCCAGCUAUGCUUAAUCACCACUUACACAGCACUUUCUGAAAUGCUUUCUACAUCUUAGGGUAGGUUUUAUUUUCUCUUAAUGGAGGGGUUUUCCCAGGCUUGUAGGGGACAUAGUCUUCUCUGUCCCUUCCUUAUCUUGGCUUCUUCUUUGUUUUUAUUGUGGUAAAAUACACAAAGCAUGAUGUUGACUGGGUUAACCAUUUUUAAGCAUACAAUUCAGUGGUAUUAAAUUUACUCAUAAUAUUGUGCCCCCAUCACCACCAUCUAUCUCCACAACUCUUUUUAUCUUAUAAAAUGGAAACUCUGUACUCAUUAAACAACAAGUCUCCAUUCUCUUCUCCACUCACCUCUGGCAACCACUGUUCUUUCUGUCUCUAUGAUUUUAUGAAGUACUCUGUGUACCUCAUGUCAGUGGAAUCAUACAGUAUUUGUCCUUCUGUAACUGGCUUAUUUCACUUGAGCACAGUGUUCUCAGAGUUCAUCCUUCGUAUACCACGUGUCAGCAUUUUCUUCCUUUUUAAAGCUGAAUAAUAUUCCAUUGCAUGUAUAGACCACAUUUUGCUUAUCCAUUUAUGUAUUGAUGGACACUUGAGUUGCUUCCACUUCUUGGCUGUUGUGAAUAAUGAUAUUAUAAACAGGGAUAUGCAAAAGCCUCUUCAAGUCCUUGCUUUUAAUUCUUUUGGGUAUGUACACAGUAGUGGAGUUCAGGAUCAUAUGGUAAUUCUGUGUUUAAUUUUUUGAGGGUCUGCCAUACUGUUUUCCAGUGGCUGCACCAUUUUACAUUCCUUGUGCAAACAAUGCACAAGGGUUCCAAUUUCUCUAUAUUCUUGCCAACAUCUGUUAGUUUCUGUUUUCUUCCUGGUAGCCAUCAUUAUGGGUGUGGAGUGGUCUCUUGGCUCCUUCUUGACAGGGGUUCUCUUUGGAAUCCGUACCUGCCAGCCAGGAUCCCUGUCUACUGGCUGCUCCUUGGUCCUGUGGAGCUUUGCUCCUGCACUCUGCCAAGCUCUGAGGCUGGCCUCUGUUUAGGCUGCUGAUAGACACCUGUCUUCAUGCUAAGGCCUAGCUGACUGGCUGAGCCAACCUACUCCUCCAGGGCCUGCCCAACCCUGAUGGGUGCCUGACGCAGGCCUGGAACAUCUUGCUGCCUUCUCGUACUCACAGCUUAGGAAGCAAAAAGCAAGCCAGGUGUUCAUACUUCUCUGCUGGGGACAUAACAAAUGGCAU